UACGUAGGGUGCAAGCGUUAUCCGGAAUUAUUGGGCGUAAAGAGCUCGUAGGCGGUUUGUCGCGUCUGCUGUGAAAACUGGAGGCUCAACCUCCAGCCUGCAGUGGGUACGGGCAGACUAGAGUGCGGUAGGGGAGAUUGGAAUUCCUGGUGUAGCGGUGGAAUGCGCAGAUAUCAGGAGGAACACCGAUGGCGAAGGCAGGUCUCUGGGCCACUACUGACGCUGAGAAGCGAAAGCAUGGGGAGCGAACAGG
rnacentral:rRNA from 1 species